rnacentral:rRNA from 1 species
UACGUAGGGGGCAAGCGUUGUCCGGAUUUAUUGGGCGUAAAGAGCGCGUAGGUGGCUGCAUAAGUCCGUUGUGAAAGUCAAAGGCUCAACCUUUGAAAGCCGAUGGAUACUGUGGAGCUAGAGUACGGAAGAGGCGAGUGGAAUUCCUGGUGUAGCGGUGGAAUGCGCAGAUAUCAGGAGGAACACCAAUAGCGAAGGCAGCUCGCUGGGACGUUACUGACACUGAGGCGCGAAAGCGUGGGGAGCGAACAGG